CUGGUGUUAUUUUAUGAUUGUUGGGGCAGUCUCCAUCUAUAUCUUAUACUUCUCAAAAUACAGUCCACUUCAGACUGGUUUUAAUCACUGCA